ensembl:lncRNA
GCUCUCUCUGGCAUCCAGACAGAGGGACGGGUGUGCUUCCAAGCCAUGUGCCUUCAUUCAAAGAGACAAGAGUAUCCGCUCAGCUUUGGCCAAUGGUGUGUCACUCUUGAAGUCAGCUGGAACUGGCUCUUUUGUAACAUGGAGCAGCUGCUGGGCUUUGUUCACAAAGGCCACCCCUGCAACUCUCCCAGCUUGGUGUCGCAUGCAAACUUGCUGAGGAUGUAUUCGAUCUUACUGUCAACGUAACUGAUGAAGACAAUAAAGAGCAUCAGUCACAGUAAUGAUUCCUGAGAGAGACCACUCACCACCAAUCUCCAUCUAGACAUUGAGCUACUGACCAUCAUUCUCUGGGUACAAUCUUCAAACCAAUUCCUCGUUUAUUGAACAGUCCACAUAUUAAAUCCAUAUCUUUCCAAUUUGGAGAGAAGGAUGAUUUGUAGGACCCCAUUGAAGGCCUUACAAUAGUCCAAAUAAAUUAUAUCAAUGGCUUUUCCCUUGCCCAUUGGUGCAGUUAUACCAUCAACUUAUGCACUGGUACAGUUAUACCUUUCUAUUUCUUCUUUGUACAAUAUUGACAAGCAGUUUGUUACUGGUGUUUAUGUUCUGAGAUAAGCUUCCGGGAAUACAAGGCCUGGGUUUGUAGGCAUGGUUUUUAUCAUUCUUGUAAAAAGACAUCUCCUAAAUUUGGAGUAGAUGUCUAUUCUAAUCUUAUGGAAUGAAACACUAUAAAACACUGCAAAAAUUCAGUGGAAUAAAUCAUUAUUUCUCCCAGGUGUUUUGCAAGCAUUUUCAGGUUCUUUAAAAGCUUUAAAAUUUUUUGAAAGAUACUUUAGAUUUAAAGACACUGAUGAAUAUGUAGAAAAUAAUCACCAGAAAAAUCACCACAAAUCCAGCUUAAGUCCCAUUAUAUCAGUCCCACUAUGUAAUUCAAUCAGUAUUUGUUACCUGAUUAAAAUAUUUACAUAACUCCUGCAGUUAUGCAUCAUGAGAAGCAAAUAAGCCUGAGAGAAAAGACUAAAAUUACUGUCAAUGUGACAGUUCUUCCAUCUCUCACCUGUCCAUUACCUUUUAUUGCAUUGUCAUUCCCCUAAACUAUUCUCUCUGAAAUAAAAAAUGGCAGGUCUAAAUUUUCCACAUUCAAAUGUAUCUGUGUAAGCAGAAAAUAUGGAACUGAUGAAGGCAUAAACUUGCAAGCAGACAAAUCUGUAAAUGGGAAAAAAAAAAAAAAAAAGGAGGGAAAAAAUAAAAAGAAAAUUAAAAAAUUACUUAAGGUGUCUGAAUUCUAGCCUAACAAAUGAGAGAACAUUAUCUUCUAAGGCAGUCUAAAACAAAAGCAUGUUAAAGAACAACAUGUAGUAAAGAUUACAGCUUAAUAAUGUUUAUUCAUACGGGAUAAGUUGUUAUGGGAUCAUGAGGUCUUUUGUUAUGCUGUGCUUUGCAUAUGCAUGAAAAGUAACUGCUUUCCUGCUGAGAACAGAAGAUCUUCAUAGUUUUGGGUACCAAGGAUUACUUCCUUAAAAUCAGCCAAGCAAAAUUAACUACACAUUAAUUUAAUAAUAUUUUCAUAUACUUAUUUAAUUUAAGGCAGUAAGAGUCAUCUUGAAUACUGGGUGACAAAUAGCUUUCCUUUUCUUCCCAGGUAUAAACAAAUACUGAUAAGAAAUUCUGCUUUUCUUCAAAGAGCUUUAGGUAUUUCAAUUUUACUUUGGUGCCU